rnacentral:lncRNA from 1 species
CUGGAUUUCUACGGCUGCAUAACAGACAGUCACCAACUCCGGAGCUGCGUCCACAGGGUGGAUUAUCCUCUGGUCUGGUGUGGGUGGGCUCGGGACCGGCGAGGGGUCUGCGUCAGGGUGUCAGCCGGGCUGGACUCCUCCCGUGCUCUCAUGCCGAUGGAACGAUUCUCAUCCGUGCAGCUGUGGGGCAGGCGGCGCUGCUUCUUCAAGCCCUCGACGAUGUCUCUGGCUUCUAGAACAUUCUAAAGGGCUCACCUGCUGAGCCCAGGCCCACCCCGAUCUCCGUUUGCGAUCCCUCCAGUCAACUGAUUCAGGAUAUGAUUCCAAGUGCAGAAAUCAACCUUGUCCCUGGGCCACACCCCCCACACGCAGGCGUGGAGACCCCUGGGGCAGGGGGGCUGGCGGCCAGCCGGGAGCUCCACCAGCCGCACCCCCCCAGCACAGAGCCCAGGUGGCCCCUCGGUUAUGGGACAACGUGGAGGUGUGCUCCUGGCCUCUUCCACCGAGCCAGGCCCUUCCUGGGGCUGACGGCACUGCUGGUCACCUGCGGGGCUCGCGAGGGCAGCCCAGGCCCGUUUCCCUGGGGGUCUGGCGUGGGGCAGCCCCACGCCCGCUCCUUCAUCCACUCAGCUCCUUACAGCGCCCAGCCCAGCCCCCGGUGGCCUGGAGUGCGGCCUUGGCUGUAGGACAUGGUGACAGCCCCCGUGUGACCCAGCGCCGGUGCCUGCUGCCCCCCCAUACCCGCAGCCUGGGGCAGGAGCCACGGCCACGCCCAUUUCAUGCUCGGUCAGUGGAGGCCCAACACAGACCUCCAGACUGGGUCCCGCGGUCUGGCUCUUUCCAUAUUUGCCUUUGUCUUCUGUCGUCCCUGGAGCCCCUGGGCUGGAAGGGGCCGGCUGAAGACCCCUCCCUGCCCCCACCGUGCUGUGUGGCCUGGAGCGAGCCCCUGGCCCCUCCGUUUGGACCAUCGGAUGGAUUUCCUGGAGCUCCUGUAACCAGGCGCCACCACGGGGCCCUAAACACCGCACAGAAUGACAGCAAUGGUGGCAGCGUCGCCCAGGGCGGCCUCCUGCCGCAGAGGCUCAUGGCCAGGCCAGGGCGGGGCCGCGGGGGCUGCGAGGCGCGUCCAGGCGUCUCCCCCAACCCGUGUGUGUGUGUGCAUGUGUGCACGUGUGUUGGUGUGUGUGUCUGUGUCCGUGUGUGUCUCUGUGUCUGUGUCAGUCUGUGUGCACACGCAUGUCUCUGUCCCAGUGUCCCUUUCCUGGAAGGCCCCUGCUUGUGUGGUCUGGGGUCCGAGCCAGCCGCUCUAGGGUUGACUGGUCACCCUCAGCCCUGGCAGGCAGGGUUCCAGCAGAGGUGGGGGCGCCCAGGGCACCCCCACAGCGGCCACAGCGCCACCUCCCGUAGGCCGUCUCCAGGCUGUCCCUC